rnacentral:rRNA from 1 species
CUGCGGAAGGAUCAUUACCGAGUGUAGGGUUCCUAGCGAGCCCAACCUCCCACCCGUGUUUACUGUACCUUAGUUGCUUCGGCGGGCCCGCCAUUCAUGGCCGCCGGGGGCUCUCAGCCCCGGGCCCGCGCCCGCCGGAGACACCACGAACUCUGUCUGAUCUAGUGAAGUCUGAGUUGAUUGUAUCGCAAUCAGUUAAAACUUUCAACAAUGGAUCUCUUGGUUCCGGCAUCGAUGAAGAACGCAGCGAAAUGCGAUAACUAGUGUGAAUUGCAGAAUUCCGUGAAUCAUCGAGUCUUUGAACGCACAUUGCGCCCCCUGGUAUUCCGGGGGGCAUGCCUGUCCGAGCGUCAUUGCUGCCCAUCAAGCACGGCUUGUGUGUUGGGUCGUCGUCCCCUCUCCGGGGGGGACGGGCCCCAAAGGCAGCGGCGGCACCGCGUCCGAUCCUCGAGCGUAUGGGGCUUUGUCACCCGCUCUGUAGGCCCGGCCGGCGCUUGCCGAACGCAAAUCAAUCUUUUUCCAUGUUGACCUCGGAUCAGGUAGGGAUACCCGCUGAACUUAAGCAUAUCAAU